UGUCUAUGUAUUUUACUAUCAAUUAUGUGCUUUUUAUUAUUAUUAUUAUGUUUUUGUUUACCUUCAUGUUUGGAAAACAAUACUUUCUUCUCCCAUUUAUAGUAGUUGAGAAAGUGUCUUUUAAAAAGUUGGUUCAGUUAUGUAGGUGAACUGAUUUGGAGACUUUUAAAUAAGCAAUUUUAUAGGUAGCAUGCAGAUACAGCAAAUAUUGUGAAUGAGGAAUGUGAAUGACUAAAGUUUGGGAAGUAUUGCCUUAGUAGACCACCACCCUACUUAAGAUUAGGAAAGAAUCAGGACAUCUAGUAUGUCCUCUGCUCCUUGAUAGCUCUGCAUGAGACCUCCCUUGAGGAAUGUGACAGUUUCCUUUCUGCUUCUUUGAUGGUUUGUUCUGUACAUGGAUAGACGGUGAGCAAGCAAGACAGGGAGAAAGGCCUUCCUUUUCAUUAAUGAAGAUUAAAAUCACCAACAGAAAAUCAGUGGGGUAUCAUUUAUUGAACAUUUGCUAUGUGCAAAUAUCCUUGCAAAUCUUGCUGGGAGGUAAAGGUAAAUCCUUUCUCUCCUGGAUCUGGUAGAUGACCACAAACUGGGGCAAUGUAAGGUGGGAAAGGGCUAGUUCCACAGGAAAAGGAAUGUCAUGGACUUUACCAGGAAUCUUCCCAAGAAGCAUUUGGGGUGGGAGUUUCAUCAUUGCCAAUACUUUAGGUUUUCUCUUAAUGGCAUCUUCAGUAUUAGGAAGUUUCCUGAGUACCAGCUACUUGCUAGACUUGCUCGCUACUGUGCUGUCAGAAAACUAGAGUUUAAUUUUCUCUGCUAAAAUCAUAAAAUGUCUUAGGGUAUUUGUUUUCUCUUAGCAAAAGUUUAUGAAAGGUUUUUCUUUACCUUUUAGGUAAUUUGUUUGGGAAUAAAAAAUUCUCUUAUUAAAUAUUUCCUGUACUACACAUUGUGUUUAUCAGGUCUUUGAUUACUUAGAAAAACUGUCUUUUCAAUAUGAAAGAGCAAACUUCAUUAUAACAUAUAGACAUAUGCAGUUUCCACACAUCCUGUGACAAGCCCUGUAGUGUAUGUGGUUAUUAAUUUUUCCUUUGCUCCACCCCAGUGCUGAUUUGUUGGCUUCUGUUUUCAAUGCUCAGAGCUUCUCCACCACACUGUUGAUGGCAUUUUUUAACAGAGUCUAAGAACAGGCUCAUUACUUAUAGUAGAGUUUCCAGGAAUCUUUUCUUGGGGCAGAAUGGUGGCAAGGCGUGAAAGAAUCCUUCUGCAAUUUUGAGGAUUGUAUAAUCUGCAGAAUUCUUCCAAUUCUUUCUUGGACAGGAUGUGACUCCAAGGACAAGUUUCAGCACUACCAGCCUGUGGAGGACAGAGUUCCUUCACUACUCAGUGGAUAAACAUUUGAAUGUCAUUUUUGCACAAGCUCAAGGCUUUCUUGGCUUAUCAUGAAUGUCUGGUACUCAGAAUUUUCAACCAGAACCUUGUUUCUGGUCCCAUUUCUCAAAUCAGUUUCAUUCUUCCUCUUUAGUAAGGGAACUCUGCAAACUUCCUUUGAGGUCUACAUUGAUAGUGAUAGUUGGAAUUAGCCUUUCUAAAGUUGACAUGUGCAUUUUGAAUUUUUUUACAUAUAUGUUUUGUAUACCCAUACACACAUAUACAUAUUCCUGACACCCCCCAACAAGUGCAGUUUUUAAAACAAACAUCAGUGCAAUAAUAAGGGCAUUUCCUCAGAGCCUGUGCACACAGCCUGGGGAGAGGAAGAAAUGCUCGUUUUCUUCUUGUUGGAAUAUUCCAGUGGGUGCAUUUGAACAGAAAGGGAAAAAACAAAGGGCGUUCAUCUGUAUAUAUGAGCAAAGUACACACUUUACUCAUGAGUAGGUAUCCCCUUACCUGAAGGCCCAGUAUUCUGGCGAUUCAGGUGAAAAUUUCAAGUGUUUUCUGGACCAGGUGUUUCCCCGGCUGUUCCCCAUCCACACAUCAUAACCACUAUCUGCCAGAAGGAAGGCCAGGCUGUUGUUGGGUAGGUUGCAAAUCCAGUUACUGGCAGAUGCAAUUAAACCAUGUUGCAAAUACACAACAGGUUUUGGAGCUGCAAAAUACAGGCAACAAAGAUUUUGUAUCUGAACUUCUACAGUGUCUGCAAAAAAUUCUCUUUCCUGACUGAUUGCCUGUAUUAUAGAAGAGAUGAGAUGGUAAGAGGUGAAAUUUAGCACAAGGCAAACCUGGCUCUAGUCCUUUUUGAACUACUUACGUGGGCAAAUUAUUUAUCUUCUCUAUGUCUUGUUUCUCUCUUUGUAAAAUUUGGAUUAUAUGAAAUACAGUAUGUUGUUCUGUACGUGAAGUCAGAUUGUCCUGGUUCAAAAUCUAUUCUGCUAUAUAUUAAUCCCUCUGUGCCUCAGUUAAUUUUAUCUGUGUAAUGGGUAAUAACAAUAAAUUCUACCUCAUGGUGUGGUCAUAAGAAUUAAAUUAGAAUUAAAUUCCUUAAAAGACUCGCUA